GGGAGGCCGUGGACGCGCAGGAUCUGCAGCAGGGCCGGGUGCAGGAGGCGUCCGCGUCAUCCAGGAUGUCGCCCUUGAGCGCACCACCGUUGCUACCUCGAUGCCGCCGCAUCCAAAGGUCGAUUUUUUUAAUCUGUUCGUCCGCGAUAGAUCUCCAUUAGUCAUGUUUACCACUAAGCUUAAUUAGAGCGCUGUUAGCAUUAGGGUUAUUUAGAGUCAUGUCAGCGUUAGGAUUAUUUAGCAGCUUCGGCUUAAUCAUAAUCUGGAUUCCGUUAGAGUCCUGUUUAGCAGCAUUAGACCUCCAUCAGGCCUCUCUAACUUAUCUGUGCAGGUAGCAUGUUGUAUGGUCUGAUUUGCUACAUAUAUUUGCAUCUCCUUUUAUCCGUGCAAUCAGCAUGUAUGGUCCUUCAAAAUGUCUUGGCAACAUUUCAGAAAGCUGUUAGGAUAAGUAGUUAGGAAAUCAAAAUUGAAGCAGGCUAGGUUUUUAUAUACGAAAGGUAAACCUGAACAUUGACCUCUUUCUACCGGUGCUUCCAAGUACAAGUUCAACAAGGAAAGGCCUAAUUCCUGUUAUUGUGGAGUUCGUUUGCACACUCACUUUGUGCAGCAAGUUGCCUAGUUCUGUUCUGAUGCUUCAAUUAUACUUGCUCUUUUUUUAUAACCAAAUUUUCCAUGCUUUUGCUCAAGACUUCAAUAUAAAAGGAGUGUUCAAGUUAUGUAUAUAUAUUCCGGUAUUCUGUAUGCCGCUGUUGUUUACAAACUACAUAUUUGCUGUACAAGGUACUGUCAUGAUGAUGAUGAUUUGCUACGACGUUUCCUUUCCUAUAGUGAUAUCUAAUUCUAAAAUUGCAAGUUUUGGAAGUGUCUUUUGUUGAGAACUUCUUCUAUGCUCUCGUACUUGCAUUUCAACUACUUCAUCCUUCACCUCUGCCCUUGCUGUCAUGCGGCGACGGCGAGUUCACCGUGCCGCAACCGUGGCAUUUGUGGCAUCUUCGUCUCUAUGGUUUAGGGUCCUGCCAUGUUCAUGUGUCAUGUCAGGUGAGGGUGAUUGUGCUUCUUGUUGUAGUUGAGAUUAUUGUAAUUGUUUCUAGAGCAUGAACAUUAUGUUUCGUUGAAGUCCAUGACGUUUUCCAUUUUUUUGCAUCUAGCACUGUUCUAAGUGUUCUUAGAGGUGCAACAUCUAAAUUGGUGAUGAGUGUCCUCAAACUUGAGAGUAUUUCUCCUUGCUAACGGUAGAUGCUAAAUUUAAUUAACGCUUCCUGAUUGUGUCAGUAGUCGAAAGGAGUCCCUUCAACACUAUUAGCUUUGCUUCUGGAGUUGCAUUUGAGCUGAUAGUUGGUUAAUAAUUUACCAUUUUUUCUAAUUUGAAGUGAUAAUUCUUACGCCAUUAGAAUGCUCUUCAGCUGGAUUGUUUCUGGCAUUUGUGAUGGAUAAAAAAUAGAGCUUAAGCCUUUCGAUUCUUGUUUCCUUUGGCUCUUCUGCAUUGGAUAUUUGCUCUAGGAGUUGUUACUUAUUGUUUCUAGUUGGUUUCUUUUGUGGCUGGGCUGCUGGGGGUCCUUUAAGCUUUUUGUUUAUGCUUCAUGUUGUUAAGCUUGGGACCUCCAGCUUUUUGGAUUAAAAGCAUAAUGUUGAUAAUCCAAAGAGCAUGCCCUAGUGCAUGAUAAUUGGUGUUCCUCUUAUUGUAAAUAUCAUUAGAUAAGAAAUAUAUGUUCUACACUUUUGUGUUAAACACCUAGGAUUCCCUAACUGUUGCUAAAUGUGUUGUAUUAUGCAUCUCUUGCAGAUCACUGGACUCUUGCGUUUGAGAGCAUCUUCGUAGCUGUUAAGACUGCUAUAUGGUCUUGUGGUGGCAAUGCCUGGCCUCGGCGACAACCUCUCCGCCAGAGGACGUCCGGGUCACCGGCACCACCCUGCUCCAGUAACCCACCAGAAGAUGGCAUGCGGCGGCACCGGUAAGCGAGGAUGAGCGGUUGUUCUGGCCUGGAGAUGGGCUCGCUGGUAUGUGCAACUUUGCUGAAUUGGUGUUACCGGUGCCCUUCUGAGCUUGGCAGCUCCGGCGGCGUUGUAGGAGGAGGUGGUGGAAGUUUGAACGUUUUGCGACGGCGGCAGCUUCGCUGUGGCUUGUUUUUUGAUAGGGGAAUUACCUGUUACAUGAGUCCGUAUUGUGUGACGUGUAGCUGCACGCCUUUUGUUGUCGUUUGAAGUUGAAAACCUGGGCUGGCUCUCAAUGCGCGUAUGUUUGCUGUA